ACUGGGCAGGUUGGGUUGAAUGA
rnacentral:miRNA from 1 species